rnacentral:rRNA from 1 species
CGGGGUUGCGGACAGUGUCUGGUGGGUAGUUUGACUGGGGCGGUCUCCUCCUAAAGAGUAACGGAGGAGCACGAAGGUUGGCUAAUCCUGGUCGGACAUCAGGAGGUUAGUGCAAUGGCAUAAGCCAGCUUGACUGCGAGCGUGACGGCGCGAGCAGGUGCGAAAGCAGGUCAUAGUGAUCCGGUGGUUCUGAAUGGAAGGGCCAUCGCUCAACGGAUAAAAGGUACUCCGGGGAUAACAGGCUGAUACCGCCCAAGAGUUCAUAUCGACGGCGGUGUUUGGCACCUCGAUGUCGGCUCAUCACAUCCUGGGGCUGAAGUAGGUCCCAAGGGUAUGGCUGUUCGCCAUUUAAAGUGGUACGCGAGCUGGGUUUAGAACGUCGUGAGACAGUUCGGUCCCUAUCUGCCGUGGGCGCUGGAGAACUGAGGGGGGCUGCUCCUAGUACGAGAGGACCGGAGUGGACGCAUCACUGGUGUUCGGGUUGUCAUGCCAAUGGCACUGCCCGGUAGCUAAAUGCGGAAGAGAUAAGUGCUGAAAGCAUCUAAGCACGAAACUUGCCCCGAGAUGAGUUCUCCCUGACUCCUUGAG